rnacentral:rRNA from 1 species
CCCUUAGAUGUUCUGGGCCGCACGCGCGCUACACUGACGAAGUCAGCGAGCAUGUCCUACGCCGACAGGUGCGGGGAAUCUUGUCAAACUUCGUCGUGAUGGGGAUUGAUUAUUGAAAUUCUUGAUCAUCAACGAGGAAUUCCUAGUAAGCGCAAGUCAGCAGCUUGCGUUGAUUACGUCCCUGCCCUUUGUACACACCGCCCGUCGCACCUACCGAUUGAAUGUUUCGGUGAAGAUUCCGGAUAGGACUUUUUUGAUUUAUUUCAAUUUUGUCUUAAAAGCUAUCUAAACCUCAACAUUUAGAGGAAGGUGAAGUCGUAACA